rnacentral:tRNA from 1 species
GCAUGCGUGGCUGAGCAGCAAAAGCGCCUGACUGUAGAUCAGGAGUCUUCGGACUAUCGUGGGUGCAAGUCCUACCGCAUGCA